GACGAACGCUGGCGGCGUGCCUAAUACAUGCAAGUCGAACGAACAGACGAGGAGCUUGCGGCUUCGACGUGAGCGGCGGGCGGGUGAGUAACACGUGUGUAACCUACCUAUAAUAGGGGUAAAACUACGGAAAACGGGAGAUAAUAGCGUAGGAGAUUUCGAAGCGCGGGGGUGGAUGGUGAGAGUUGGCGGUGCGAGAACGAAUAGAUGGACCUGCGCCGUAUGAGGUAGUUGGGAAGGUAACGGCUUACCAAGGCAACGAUUCGUAGCCGAACUCUGAGGGUGAUAGCCCACACUGGAACUGAGACAGCGUCAAGACUCCUACGGGACGCAGCAGUCGGGAACCUUCCGCAGUGGGCGAAAGCCUGACGGAGCAACGCCGCGUGAGUGAUGAAGGUCUUCCGAGCGUAAAACUCUGUUAUUAGGGAAGAACCAACGUGUACGUAACUGUGCACGUAUUGACGGUACCUAGUCAGAAAGCCACGGCUAACUACGUG
rnacentral:rRNA from 1 species